CUGAUUAACUGGAUUCCUUUUUACUUUUUCAGUCCAAAGUGACUUUCUUUUCACUCUUUCAGAUCCUGACAAUUGUUUACUCUUCCUGUGUCCUUUUUAGUAUCUUUGUGGAUUCAAGAAUCUUUAGGAGGCAGAUUUUUAAAAAUGCAUAUCUGAUCAUCUCCUCUCAACUCUGUUCCUGCUCUUUAUGUGACGUUGGGCAAAUUACCUUGUUCCUCAGUUUUCUCACCUCCAAAAAGAGAAUGAUAACACUAGCACCUACCUCCUGUUGUGGGAAUUAUAUAAGACUGAACAUAAGGCACUUAGAAAAAGUCCUGGCCCUUAGUAAUGACUUGAUUAAUGUUAACUAUUAUUAUUGUUGUGACCUACAGAGAUCUUAAUGAUUUGCUUGUCCAAACUCCUCCAUUUUUAUAUAAAACAAAAGAAUUGGAUUUAUUUUUUUCUUUAAAAAUGUGUUUAUUUUUUAAAAAAUCAGUUGUGUACAAAAAUGUUUCGUAGUUUUUAACUCUCAAGACAAAUACCCAACUCUCCACCCACAGCCCACCCUGCUUCAAUGGUAUUU
rnacentral:lncRNA from 1 species